CUACGGGUUGCUCCAGUGAGGAAUAUUGGUCAAUGGGCGAGAGCCUGAACCAGCCAUCCCGCGUGCAGGAUGACGGCCCUAUGGGUUGUAAACUGCUUUUCCAUACCAAGAAACCUGAUUACGUGUAAUUAGUUGCCGGUAGUAUGGGAAUAAGCAUCGGCUAACUCGGUGCCAGCAGCCGCGGUAAUACGGAGGAUGCAAGCGUUAUCCGGAUUCAUUGGUUUUAAAGGGUGCGCAGGUGGGCUUGUAAGUCAGUGGUGAAAUGUUGCCGCUUAACGGUAAAAUUGCCAUUGAUACUGCAAGUCUUGAAUAUAGUUGAGGUAGGCGGAAUGUGUUGUGUAGCGGUGAAAUGCAUAUAUAUGACACAGAACACCGAUUGCGAAGGCAGCUUACUAAGCUAUUAUUGACGCUGAGGCACGAAAGCGUGGGGAUCGAACAGGAUUAGAUACCCUCGUAGUC
rnacentral:rRNA from 1 species